UUGUCAGAUUAGAAAUUUGUAGAAAAAUCAGUAACCAAAACAAAACAUUUUCGUUUUUCCGACAGAUAGAAGUGUGUUAACCAAUGGAACUAGAGACCUAAAGCCAGAUAUUACAAAACAAUAAAAAAAAACACUCAAAAAGCGUAACAAAUUUAAGUCAUUUUGUGGAAUUGCGACAUUCGGUCAUAUUUUCUUUCUCAAAUUAUCAUAUUUUGGAUCUUAAGCAGAGCAGAGCAGAGCGGAGAGCAGCAAACAUGGGCAAUGUGCACACGCUAGAGGAGGACAAGGUCCAUGGGCAUGAUCAUGGCCGUGAGCAGGGACAGGGGCGGGGUCAGGGCAAGGGCAAUGAGAAGGAGAAGCUCUAUCGAUUCUUUGGCAUACGCAUGGCCAACGAGGGCGAUGGCUAUAGCAUAACCGGGCAACGGCGUGCGGAGAUACAGCUGAAGCAGGAGGAGAAUCUGGAGGCAGCGGGCCCAGGAGGGGCGCGUUCCGCCGCUGCGGUUGCUGUCGGCGGUCUGGCAGCGCCGGCGACAGCAUUGCCAGAGCGUUUAGGGAAUCCGGGCACUGUGGCGGAAUUGCAUCGUCGCUGCCACGAUAUGCUGCCGCAAACAUUUGACGGCUUCCGACUGAACGUUAGCCGCGCCCUCGGCAGCAAUGUGACCGUCGGCCAUUCCCUGCAGGUGGGCAACCGGCCGCAGACCGCCGACUGUCAGUUCAAUGCCAGCUAUAUGGGCCAGCGCCAGCACGAGCUAACUGGCGAGGCAUACCCAAUGAUCAUUGGCGAGGUGGAUGCCCAUGGCAAUGUGACCGGCACACUGAUGCACUUCAUCACGCCACGGUGCCGUGGCAAACUGACGACCACCAUACUCGACUCGGAGGUCCAGAGUUCGCGCCUCUUUCUAGACUACUUUGGGAACAAUUACAGCUGCACCUGCGUCCUGAGCAACAUCGAUCUGGCACAGCGCAUGGGCGUCUUUGUGGCAUCCUAUCUGCAACAGGUCACACCCGAGCUGGCGCUGGGCGUCGACUACAUCUAUCAGCGCGAGGACAUUGUGCCCGGCGGCCAGGCGGCACUCGUCUCGGCGGUGGCACGCUACCAGCAGGAAAAUCGACAAUGGUCCGCCAUGCUCAGCCUGCACGCCCUGGAGCUCUGCUAUACACAGUUCUAUGGCCAGAGUCUGGGCGCCAGUGUUCAGCUGCAGGCGAAUAUCUUGAAGCGCCAGGCGAUAUCGCGGCUGUGCUAUCAUUGCCAUAUGCCCAGGGUUGGGUUCAGUUUUCGCGGCGGCAUCGAUACACGCGGCGUCAUCAGCGCCGUCUGCGAGAAGCGACUCGAGCCGCUGCCCAUUCUGCUGCAGCUCAGCGGCAAGCUGAAUCAUCUGACCAGUCGCUUUCGCUUCGGCCUGGGCCUGAUACUGGGCUAAACAUGGAUGCCAUGUGAUUUGACCCUCAAUUUCAGCCACUUGACGAACAAGCAACUGCUUGAUCAGCUUUUGCAUUGGAAUCUGCCACAGGGCGUGCAACGAAUUGUUGUUUAAAUGAAUCAAAUUUCGGAGGAGGGGCUUGGUUCACGCCCAGCACUGCUGCACUGGGCUCAAGAAACAGCUCGAAAUAAUAUUAAAAACAGAUACAAAUAUAUUUCAAAGAAGAUACAAAUUCAAAUAAAAAAGAUGCCCAAAUUCAAAUUAGCUACAUUUUUGAAAAACUCUUCUCAAAUUCAGCGGUUUUAUACAACUUUUCAAACGCACAAAAACGCAACAAUUUUGCGCACUUUGAGAAGAAAGUUUCGUCUAAAUAGAGUCUAUGGAAAUAUGUUCUUUCGUUUCAUUUCGAUCACGCGACCGACAAACCGAAUUCAGCUAAAGCGAGGCAGCUGUCGACACGGAUCAGGAAC